GACGAACGCUGGCGGCGUGCUUAACACAUGCAAGUCGAACGGAAAGGCCCUGCUUUUGUGGGGUGCUCGAGUGGCGAACGGGUGAGUAACACGUGAGUAACCUGCCCUUGACUUUGGGAUAACUUCAGGAAACUGGGGCUAAUACCGGAUAGGAGCUCCUGCUGCAUGGUGGGGGUUGGAAAGUUUCGGCGGUUGGGGAUGGACUCGCGGCUUAUCAGCUUGUUGGUGGGGUAGUGGCUGACCAAGGCUUUGACGGGUAGCCGGCCUGAGAGGGUGACCGGCCACAUUGGGACUGAGAUACGGCCCAGACUCCUACGGGAGGCAACAGUGGGGAAGAUUGCACAAGGGGCGGAAGCCUGAUGGAGCAACGCCGCGUGCGGGAAGACGGCCUUCGGGUUGUAAACCGCUUUCGCCUGUGAGGGAGCGUGAGUGACGGUAAUGGGGAAAGAAGCACCGGCUAACUACGU
rnacentral:rRNA from 1 species